GAGGGUAGAGCUCAAGGGGUAGAGUGUAGGCUUAACAUGCACAAGGUCCUGGGUUCAAUCCCCAGUACCUCCA
rnacentral:tRNA from 1 species